rnacentral:lncRNA from 1 species
CACAGGACAAUACUGGAAGCAAUUCAUAGAGCUAAUUUCAUGUACAAUACAAAACUAGUACAUGAUUUUAAAACAAACCAAAGACUCAAGAAAAAAUUAAUAGGUCAUUGAACUCAUCUUGAUUUUCAGUUCGAUGUAUGUUAAAAAGAAAAAAAUUGAAACAUUAAACAAAUCAAAAUAACAAAUAAAAGAAAGAGAAACGAGAUGGCUUUGGGGCUUCAACCUCUUCUUCUGGCUUCUGCUGUGCUGUUGUUUGUCGAAUUGCCACUGGAAUCGAAGGGAAUGAGAAAGGAAUCGUAAGAGAUUUCGAGAUAGAAUUAGAAACAAGACCUUCUAGAAUCUAGCUUCAUCACUUUCUUCCAAACAAUAAUCACUGACGCUUGGAGCUGAUGUCGAGUGAGUUGGUGGUCCGUCUAUGUUUAUGAGAGGUUGAGAGAGAUUCGAAGUCGA